AGAGUUUGAUCCUGGCUCAGAACGAACGCUGGCGGCGUGGAUAAGACAUGCAAGUCGAGCGCUGAUUACAGGGUAGCAAUAUUCUGUGGUCGGAGCGGCGCAAGGGUGCGUAACACGUGGGUAAUCUGCCAUGAAGUUUGGGAUAACUUGCUGAAAGGCGAGCUAAUACCGGAUGUGACGAUUGGGAGGCAUCUUCCGAUCUUCAAAGCUGGGGACCGUAAGGCCUGGCGCUUCAUGAUGAGCCCGCGGCCUAUCAGCUAGUUGGUGAGGUAAUGGCUCACCAAGGCUAAGACGGGUAGCUGGUCUGAGAGGACGACCAGCCACACUGGAACUGAGACACGGUCCAGACACCUACGGGUGGCAGCAGUCGAGAAUUUUUCACAAUGGGCGCAAGCCUGAUGGAGCGACGCCGCGUGGGGGAUGAAUGGCUUCGGCCCGUAAACCCCUGUCAUUUGCGAACAAGUUGGUUCAAUUAACACCUGAACCAUUGAUAGUAGCGAAAGAGGAAGGGACGGCUAACUCUGUGCCAGCAGCCGCGGUAAUACAGAGGUCCCGAGCGUUGUUCGGAUUCACUGGGCGUAAAGGGUGCGUAGGUGGUGAGGUAAGUCGGAUGUGAAAUCUCGGAGCUCAACUCCGAAACUGCAUUGGAAACUACCUUGCUCGAGGGUUGGAGGGGGGACUGGAAUGCUUGGUGUAGCAGUGAAAUGCGUAGAUAUCAAGCGGAACACCAGUGGCGAAGGCGAGUCCCUGGACAACUCCUGACACUGAGGCACGAAAGCUAGGGGAGCAAACAGGAUUAGAUACCCCCGUAGUCC
rnacentral:rRNA from 1 species